rnacentral:lncRNA from 1 species
AUUAGUGUUGUACUGCAUAUUCCUGAUGUUGGAAGCGACAACCACUUGGAGAGGACUACCGGACUGGACACUCUCGAGUCUCCAUCACUACUAGGCAAUCACCACACUGUUGCUCUGUUUGUUUCUUUACUGAUGUUUGAUGUUGUGUGUGUUUUAUUUUCCCGGUUUUAAGCGAUUGCAAUGUUGCAUCAUUUGCAUGCAUCUCUGCCCAUUAAUCAUUCUUUUUUUUCUUUCUUUUUUCAUCUUUCAUCAUGUUUUGAUGCUCGUGAAUUUCUUGGAUUCUCUCUCUCAUGAAUCCAUGAUGCUGUAGAAUGUAGAAUUUGAUGGUGUAUUUUUAACCAAUUUUUUCUACGGAAUUCGAGAUGUUCUUAGCCCAUCCAGUUUUAAAUCUUACUAAUCUGUUUUUACAAGGAAUAAAUUAGCUGAACCCAUGAUUCCACGUAGUUAAUUCUAGUUAACAUAAAUUUCACUAUCAUAUUUUCGUUAAAUCCUAAAUUUAAUUUCUUAAUGGAUUUCUUUGUUCCGCCUGAUUUAAAAUUUAUUUGACACGUAUUUGCCAGUUAUCUAAACUCAUAAACCCUAAAAUAUUUAUUACACCACUCGUGUAGUCGUGUGUAGAACAGUAGGUGUAGUAUAAACUACUGUAUGUACUGUUUCUGCAUGUAGCUGCAUUGCUGUAAAUAAUAAACUGACGGCAAUCAAUCACAUUGACAUUGUUCUGGUUUUUUUUUCCCAACGUCAGUGAUCAGUGCAAGUUCAUUGAUCCAGAAAUUUAAAAAAAUGGCAAGUGUUUUAAAUAGUGAACAAUAAAACCCUUUCUAUAAGAAACACCCAACUUUUCUCUCCACCCAAGACAGUGAUUAUUUAUUAGGGAAGAGUGAAGACACACACAAAUUACAAUAGUCUGUUUUAAUAUUUUAUUUUAUUCACUCGCAAUUAUUCACACACAAAUCUGUUUUUAAAUAGUGAACAAUGUGUUAACAGAUUACACAUAAUCGAAAUUAAUGAGCAUUAUUCAAAAUUGAUGACAUAUUGUCAUAUUGAUAUCUAUAACUUAUUAAAAUUAUAGAUAUCCUAAUCUGUAAAUAUUAUAAAUAUAAAUUAUCUGCAU